GGCUCGGUUGCGCAUGGCGCGCAUCUGUCCUUCAUUGUUGGAAAGAAAUUGGCAACGUGUCAAGCAGAAUACCUCCCGUUCGACUCGGGACUGAGCCA